CCAGACUCCUACGGGAGGCAGCAGUGAGGAAUAUUGGUCAAUGGGCGGAAGCCUGAACCAGCCAAGUCGCGUGAGGGAAGAAGGCCCUGCGGGUCGCAGACCUCUUUGGACGGGGAGCAAGGCCGCCGACGUGUCGGCGGAAGGAGAGUACCCGUAGAACAAGCAUCGGCUAACUCCGUGCCAGCAGCCGCGGUAAUACGGAGGAUGCGAGCGUUAUCCGGAUUUAUUGGGUGUAAAGGGAGCGCAGGCGGGAAGCCAAGUCAGCUGUGAAAACUACGGGCUUAACUUGUAGACUGCAGUUGAAACUGGUUUUCUUGAGUGAAGUAGAGGUUGGCGGAAUUCCGAGUGUAGCGGUGAAAUGCGUAGAUAUUCGGAGGGACACCGGUGGCGAAGGCGGCCAACUGGGCUUUAACUGACGCUGAGGCUCGAAAGUGUGGGGAGCAAACAGGAUUAGAUACCCGAGUA
rnacentral:rRNA from 1 species